rnacentral:rRNA from 1 species
AGUGAACGCUGGCGGCAGGCCUAACACAUGCAAGUCGAGCGGCAGCGGGUCCUUCGGGCUGACGGCGAGCGGCGGACGGGUGAGGAAUGCAUCGGAAUCUGCCCUGUCGUGGGGGAUAACCUAGGGAAACUUAGGCUAAUACCGCAUACGACCCACGGGUGAAAGCGGGGGAUCGCAAGACCUCGCGCGAUAGGAUGAGCCGAUGUCCGAUUAGCUAGUUGGCGGGGUAAAGGCCCACCAAGGCGACGAUCGGUAGCUGGUCUGAGAGGAUGAUCAGCCACACUGGGACUGAGACACGGCCCAGACUCCUACGGGAGGCAGCAGUGGGGAAUAUUGGACAAAGGGCGCAAGCCUGAUCCAGCCAUGCCGCGUGGGUGAAGAAGGCCUUCGGGUUGUAAAGCCCUUUUGUCCGGGAAGAAAUCGUCUGGGCUAAUACCCCGGGCGGAUGACGGUACCGGAAGAAUAAGCACCGGCUAACUUCGUG